AAUAGUUUAAGUAAUAGUUACAUUAAGUAAUUGAAGCACAUUUUUGGGUGGGGCGAGGGACCCUUCUCUGUACGUUCAUUGUCCCUCUUGUGGGAUGUUUUUGGGCCCCACCUUCUGCUGCAUUCUGAUAUUGUAAAAUCUGUAAUCUCAUUUGGCAUUUGUAAUAAAUGCUCUAUACACACACACACCCUCUUUAUUAUUUAACAUGCUGCAGAACAGAGCUGCAAAUGUGCUUCAGGUUCACAUGAACCGAAUUGUUCAUCAGUUUCAGUAUUUAAGAGCACAUAAGUGUAUUUAUGUAUAUAAAGGAAUUUAUGUGAUCUAAAUACGUAAUAAAUUGCAUAUUUUUAUUAAUUACCAAUUUGUUUGAAUUCAUGGGUCCCGAAGGGUUUUCCGGGUUUUAUACUUAAGCGUCCUCUAGUAACGGCUAUUAGCCUUAUCCUUAUCAGAAUAACAUUUCGGCUCCAAAAUGUGGUUUACAAAUUUUACCCACCACCACCCCUUCAAUCCUCCAUAAUUAUUGUUAUUGUAGAAAAUACAUGUACUAGUUUCUUUUAUAUAAGGUGCCUAUUGUUAUUGCAUGACUUUUGUACUUAUUGUUAAUUUUGUAGAAAAUAUAUGUACUAGUUUUCUUUUGUAUAAGGUGUGGGAUGUUUUUGGGCCCCACCUUCUGCUGCAUUCUGAUAUUGUAAAAUCUGUAAUCUCAUUUGGCAUUUGUAAUAAAUGCUCUAUACACACACA